rnacentral:tRNA from 1 species
UCCCAGCUGGCUCAGGGGUAAAGAAUCAGCCUGCAAUGCAGGAGGUGCAGGUUGGAUCCCUGCGUUGGGAA